UCUUAAGCCCGGCCACGCCGGGGCAGCGCCCGAGCGGCUCCGAGCGGCCCCGGCCCCGCCGCCCUCGCCCCACACCAGGCACUGCACUCCUCAUUUUCCACCUUCUCUAACGAGGAAAGGUCUGUGACCACCGCGGGCUCAUCAGGAUACAAGAGCAGGUUUUUACUUUGGGGCCAACAAAGACGAGGAGGAAACCAGGAUAAUGGAAAUGGUGUUUGUGCCUGCAGGGAUAAACAGGAAUUUUCUUAACCAGAUUGGAACCUCCAGCAGGUAACUUGCCCUCUGCUCCCCCUGCGAGAAAGUUGUUUUAUUAGCAGAUAGUUCCAUGUUGAGGCUGCCACGGGAGUGUUGCAGUAAUGGAGUUGACAUCUAUAUAAUGGAGUUGACAUUUUAUUCAAAAGGGAAAAGAAAAAGCUUUAACAAACAGGGGUGCCCCCCUCCCCCUUCCUUUCUUCCCGUGUUUUGCUGCCAUCGAUCACAUCAAGCCGCACAAACUUUGAGCGGCCGCCCGUGCUGGCAAUUUAAUAAAAUUCCAUACAGCUCUGGGUGCUUCAGGGACAGGGUGGGGGAAAUCAGCCCGCUGGGAACUUGAACUUGGCUGAGAAAUCAAGGCAAGGGCUUUGUUCAGCAGGAAAGCACCACAAUUCCAGUUGGUUCUUGGCAGCACGCUUGUGUUAACGUCGUGUGCUGGUCCCUGCGUGUGCUGGAUACUUUUGGGAGAGGGAGAACAGGGAUUCCUGGGGAACAGGGAUUCCUGGGGAACAGAAAUCCUGUCAUCUCCUGUCUAAACUGCCUGAGGGAUGGGCUGCUGCUGCAGGUUCUGCGAUGGUUUGUGUUGGAAAGGAAAUCUCUCCCAUGUUCUACAGGUUUAGGACAGCCGGGACAAACAGGCCCAGCUGGGCCCAUGGAGGUGAGAGAAUGAAUUCCAGAAAAAAGCACCACUAAAGCACUCUCAGUGUAUGACAUUCCUGCAGCCAUUCCUUCCUGUGGGGAGUGAGCCAUCUGGGAUUUGUAUCCCUGGUUUGGGUGAGCAGGGAAUGACCCACAGCUGUCCCCUCUGGUUGUCCCUUGUUCUGGGUGUAGCAGAAGGAUCACUGAGGGAAAACAUGAGCUCCCAGCCCCCAAAAUGCUUCGGGAAAGUAGAGUAUUUUUAAUUAACUCAAGUUAAAAGUCCCUUGGGGGCAUCUUUCCCCUGGUGUGUGAUUUAAGUCACACAUCUCCUUUUCCCCCCUCCAACAACCCGGUUGCUGCAGCCCGUUGACAUUUGUGUUUCUGAUGUAAUAAUCAGAUGCUAAAACACUGAGAUUACAUUUGGAUCAACACAUUUGGUUCUUAAACCCCGAAAGUAAUUAUCUUUUCUCAUCUACAACGGAUGGAAAUAUUAUUCCAUUAACCAUUAAGCAGCUCUGAGCCGGGGCUGGUGUCACUGUCGCGAGGCCUACGGGGAUUCUAACCUCAGCUUUUCCCCAUGGCCAGAAACUUUUUGUGGAGCUGUGGGUGAGAUUUCACGGGUGGGAACUGCCUCAAGCAGAAUGAAGGUUCUCAAAACCUGGCCUUGAGCAUUCCCAGGGAUGGGAAUGCUGCUAAAAUCAUGGUUAAUUUCCUUUGGUUUUGUCUGCCAAACAUCUUGUUGGAGCCCAAGUUAGUGAGUGCUCUCCGUGCACCCAGCUCUCCACUUGGUUCCCUGCAGAACAGGGAUGCACCCAGGGCCCCUCAGGCACCCUUUGGAAGGGAUUCCCGGGGAGGAAAUUGAUAAGGAAGUCAAUAACAGCACGUGUUUGAAGUGGGACUUCAGCUCAGGGCUGGGAACACUUGAGGAAGCUCUGGCCACAAUUAAGCACUUAAUCAGGAGAGAGCGGCAAUUUCCCCAGCGCAGGAACCACCGAGCGCACAUCCAGACAUGGGAGGGAAAAGUGUCUCUGUGGUAAUUAAUAUCCCUCCUGAUGGAGCCUGGGAUGGCCUCGUGGAGUGAUUUUUGUGGCACAGCGGGUGCCAGGGAUUUUCAGAAGCAUGAACCCUGGUGCCUCAGAUGCUGCUCGAGGGGUAAAACUGCUCCUCCCGUGCCACUGCUGCUCAGUGGGUCCUCUCCUGCUGGCUCUGCUUUCCCUCCCUUGGAAUAACAGCUGAAUUGUCUCUUCUUCCUCCCUAGGUGCUGGCUGGAGACUCCAGGCAAGCAUUCCAAGGAUAACAGGUUUCCCAGGCAGUUUUCUGGGUGCAGAGCUGCCUGAGGAAGGUGCUGGUCCCUCAGGAGGAUGCACUGGGUGCCUGCCCUGCUGCUUUCUGUUGUUUUUGGGGUUGUUCCUCCCCUGUGCCUCACCCAGCAGGUGGGGCUGGGCUGGGCUUGGCUGGGCUGAUGAUCUCCCUGCUCCCAUUUUUCCAUGCCAGGGAGCUGCUCCGUGCCCAAGCUGUGGCAAACUCAGCUGCAGGUGUGAGUUCUCUGCUCUCACCCUCCUCCCCGAUCCCAAAGUUUUCAGGGCAGAUCUGGGAAGCGCUCAGUGCUCUCUCCACUCAUUCCACACUCGAUUACAGAUAAUGCUGUCGAGGUUUGUUGUUGAUAUUUUCUGGUUUGUUGCUUCUGUGGCUUCUCAGAACUUCUUGUUCCAUCUCCAAACGGCGAUGAACACGGAGCCUGCCGCCGCCAGCGUGGCUUCUCCUCCUUGGAGCACCUGAUUCAAAGCCUUCUGAAGUUGCUGGGAGCUUUUCCAGUGGAUCUCAAGUCAAGAAUCUUCCAGGCUGGCGCUGGCUUUGAUGGGCUUCGAGUGUGGCACACGAGGCACAAUGGGCUCCUUGUUCCUCUCCAGCUCCCCGGGAGCUGUGCUGAGCCACGCUGAAAUCAUCCCAAAUAAAUGCAGAUUAAACCCU